rnacentral:lncRNA from 1 species
ACUGAUUUAGUUUUAGUUUCAACAGGGCUAUUCCGCGAAGCGCCUCGUGUUCGAUCGAUUUCUUCAGCAGAAAAGGGUCAAUCGUCAGAAUGAAUUCUAGGGCAGCCAAUGAAAUUAGUCAGAUCGGCGCAUAUCAGGUGUUUAUGAUCUCAACGGGAGGAAAGCCCUUGUAGCAGAACAGAGUUCCUGGUCCGAGCGGCAAGCUUACGGAAAAGGACCCGGCAGGUCAGUGUGAAGCUCAUAGGUUUGCUCAGAAAACAUGGUGAUGAACAAUCCAUGGUAGUGGAUCCUUUCCCUCGGAUCAAAUCACAUCGAAUCUCUGAUCAUGGAAGAAACGGAAGAGUGAUCGAAGAGUUACUUUAGCGGCUAGCAGAAAGACAGAGAACGAGGCAUGUCGUCUACGAAACUACGAACGCUGUGAUCGACUGUAGACCAGAAGUUUGAAAUAAAUGCACAGAAGAAGAUCAAAUGGUCCAGCGAACGAACCAGAGGGGGGACGGAAUCAGUCACUGCGACAACGCCGCAUUCCUCACACACAGCGGUCGAGGAAAAGGUCGCCGGAGGUGGGGGGGGGGGAGGGCUGGAGAGUCUCAUCGGACGCUUCACCUCGGCCGCCCGCCGCCCACGUCAAAUCGUUCUAUCCGCUGGGGAUCACAGUUCCGCGAUAUACCAGCGUUCCGGAAUCAAUGAUCGAAGAAUGCGCGAAAAAAGUAGAGGGAUCCGGAGAUGAAAGCUGGAAGGGAAUAGAGAAGCAACCGUACCUCUCUCUGGUGGGCUCUCUCUUCUCCUCGGCUCUCCCUCACCGGCUGCGGCAGGGAAGAGGGCUCCGCCGGAUUUGGAUGGGGAGGGGACCUCGAUCUGCAGAAGACUUUUCCGACUUCGUACGCGGAGCUUCCCUGCAGAUCUCCUGUUUGUCUAGAUGGCGACGAAAAUCUUCCGUCGCCACUGCUCAUCCGACGCUGUCGCCGGCUGCGGCUGCGCCGGGCAUCUCUGCGACUCGUUUGGUGAGACGGGGUUGAAGGUUCGGUGACGAAGGGGAUUGGCACGUGCGGAAGCCCUCGC